GAGAGAUCUGCAUGACAGUGAGCCAGGAUGGCCUCAAGGGACCUGGACUUGGGUUCUGCUAUUGCUGAUGAGCGGUACUAUAGACAUGAACAAGCUCUUCUCACAAUAUCUGGGAUACCGGCUCAUUGUGGCUUCUGUGGACAUGGGGGAAAUUCCUGGCAUAUUCCAGGACCAAGACAUUUGAAGGUCCCUCAGUGACUGAAAAUGGGACUGAACCUUUCUUGAAGAUUUCCUUUUUAACCAUGGCAGGAAGACUGGGAUUGUGACAAGAGGAAGGGGAAACACAGAAGAG